GUGGCGGCCAUCUUGGCCGGCCAUCUCGGAUAGCAGGCGAAGCCCGGGCCGCCCGGUGGAGGGCCCUCGCCGGCGACCCUCGGUGGGCCAGCUGGAUUGGGGGAUGGCUCGAGUUGGGUAACAGAAUAUGCCACCAUUCAUUAUCUGACACUGCAUAAUCCAGAGGCAAAGGGCUUCCAGGGAUAGUUCUUGGGCUCGACUAUCACCCUUAGCCAGGCCGGCUGGGUGCUCCGCGUGUAGUCGGCAAAGGGGAAUCCAAUGAGGCCGCGGUGGAUUUCAGGCUCUUGUUGGCCUGUGCUCGAGGCUGAGCUCCGCGGAUGAAUUUUCCUUUUACUUGUGGGGUCACCUUAGAGCCCCGCGAUCGGAAUCCUUCGUGAUCGCCCCGAGGAUCUUAACAUUCCAGAAUCCGCUGUCGUCUUCUCUUGUCGCCAAUGGAGGGCGCUGCCGCCGCCGCAGCCAAUGCGACCUACAGGAAGAGGCGGUGCGCCGCGUCCCGCGGCCUUCUGGGAGAUGUAGGUGGCGGCGGAGUACGCACGCGUAGCGAGAACCGGAAGCGGGUGCGCCUGCUCCGGGAGGGGUGGGCGGUAGCGUUGCGAGUGGGAAGUGGUGGAGACCCUGGGGUCUACCUUGCUGUUUGCCGGAAAGCUCCGCGAUUAGCGCUAGGGCUGAGGCGGCGGUGGGGCUGAGGCGGCGGUGGGGCUGCCGGGAGGACCCGGGGCAGGGUCGCGGGUGGCUUCAGUGGGGCCAGGUGCCUGCUGCUGGCUGUCACUGGGGUGUCUUCUCCCAGAUACACUGUCUGGGCAGAGCUUUUCUCUGGAUCCAACCUCGCUUCCCAGCAAGACGUCCGUCUUCUGGAGGAGGGGAGGCGCUGGGGUAGACCCUCUCUGACCCCUGGAUAUCUGUACAUCCCACACAUACUGCGCUCCCCUCCCAAGGGGGUAGCUCAGUUCCUGUCCAGUCACAAGAGACAGCUGAGGGCCCUAGAAUCCUUGGGAUCCACUGACCUUGAAGCUAAAGGGCAAAUUCUGAGCCCCACCCCCACUCCCAGGGUACAGUGGUGAGCAGGGUCCGGAUUCUCAAUGGAAAAGGCAGAUUCCAGUGUACGGCUCUUAAGAAAUCCU